UCUUGGUUUCAAUCUUCAUUAUUGUCGAAUUAAUUGAUUUAAUUAAUAAUUUCCCUAAAAAAUUAGUAUCAAAAGGAGUUGAUAGAGAAGGGUCUUGUUACUUUGGAUGAUGUUGACAUGGCUCCCGCCGAUGGUCGAUUGUAUGCGAUGGAACUAGGGCAGCAGAUUCAUCAAAUAGGUGGACCUGCUAGGGGGAUAUUAUGAUGAUGGAGACAACGUAAAGUACGGGCUGCAGGGGAACAUAAACCUGGUACUGAGAUUGCUGCUGAAACUUCAGCUGCCAUGGCUGCUGCUUCUAUUGUCUUCCGCAAAACUGAUAAAAAAUAUGCUCGCCAACUCCUCAACAAGGUUAAAUACGUUGAACCUCAAAACCAUGUGAGGGUCUCGCAAGCAGAGCUCUUGAUCAUAUUGAUAAGAUUGAUGGCGGGGUUAUUUUCAUCGAACUAUACCUCAAAUAUUGAUAAGAAUAUUUAUAAGCAGUUCUGGUAGCAGCAGUUCUGGGAGCUAGCAGCAGUUCUGACAGCAGCAGAUUUCAGUACAAUUUCAGUUUGAGAUGGCGGACAGUUUCAGUACUUAUUGCAGGGCAAACAGCCAGCCGGUGCCGCUCUUAAUAGCUCCAACAGCAAUGCAGCCAGAAAAGGUUGAGGAGGCGGACAAUUUCAGAACCAGCUUGUUAAAAUGAAUGGCUCUUGUUUCUAUCAUCUAGCCUGUUGUUUGGAUAAUUUGUGUUGUUUGUUUUCAAUAUGUCAAAGGAACUUUGGUUUC